rnacentral:rRNA from 1 species
GUAGGGGGCUAGCGUUGUCCGGAAUCAUUGGGCGUAAAGCGCGUGUAGGCGGUCCGGUAAGUCCGCUGUGAAAGUCGGGGGCUCAACCCUCGAAAGCCGGUGGAUACUGUCGGGCUAGAGUGCGGAAGAGGCGAGUGGAAUUCCUGGUGUAGCGGUGAAAUGCGCAGAUAUCAGGAGGAACACCAAUUGCGAAGGCAGCUCGCUGGGACGUAACUGACGCUGAGACGCGAAAGCGUGGGGAGCAAACAGGAUUAGAUACCCUGGUAGUCCACGCCGUAAACGAUGGGCACUAGGUGUGGGGGGUGUCGACUCCCUCCGUGCCGAAGCUAACGCAUUAAGUGCCCCGCCUGGGGAGUACGGCCGCAAGGCUAAA